rnacentral:sRNA from 1 species
AAACAGUCCCCCAAUCACGUGCCGAACGA